GUCACAGUUGCUCUUUAGCACUUUAGCGCUCUGUUUUCUUUCUCUCUGUUCCUAAACGCUGGGGAGCAGAUGGGCCAACGAGCUGUCACUCAUACUUUCUGUCUCCGGCAUCUGUUAGUUCUCUAUGUACUGCUUAAUGUAGUUGGUUAAUCACUCAGCCAACCCCGGCGUUGAAAAGGACCCUCCUUGCUCUCCCUUCUCAGACACGCUGCAUUGGUUCCCAAGCUUUCUUUUAUCUUUCUUUUUUUGCCGUUUUUGAUGGCGCGGGGUCAUGUCAUUGGCUCAGUUAGCCCUCUUCAUUACCUGCCCCCAGGAGAAUCAGAACACACACAAAAACGCACACACAGGCAAUCUCGGAGCAAUACACGAGCACAUAUGGUUUUAUCUCCACCAAAGCUAAGUGCCUGCUGGAUAUGCUCUCGCCAUCCCACAGUAUUAACGAAACUUCUUAGGUGGAUUUUGUGUACAUGAUAUUUUGAUUCAGAAUAUCGAAUUUAUGCGAUGAAGGCCCAGAGCUGAAUAGAAACAGUGCACGUAGAUGCUUUUAGUGGUGCUUUAAACAAAAUAAUACCAAUUUACACCGAUCAUCCUGUUAAAAACGUUACAAACCGUUCAUUCCGUCCGUUAUUAUGGGGAAUGUGAGAUCUCUCUCCAGUAAGAUGGAAGAGCUAACGGCGCUAACCAGGCUUCAGAGGGAGUACCGGGAGUGUAGCAUCAUGUGCUUCACGGAGACGUGGUUGAACGAUCUCAGUAUGGAUUCACUGGUUAUACUGGACAGAUUUGAACUUAUGAGAGUGGACAGGAAAACAAAGGAGAGCAGUAAGAGAAUAGUGAUGUUUGUGAAUGAGAGAUGGUGUAACCCUGGGCAUAUCAGGCUUAAAGAGCAGUGGUGCACUAAGGAUAUUGAGCUGCUAGCGGUUAACAUGCGGCCAUAAUACCUGCCGAGGGAGGUACCAUGAGCUACUUCACACUGUUGCAUCACAGCUGCAGACAUCGCACCCACAGUCCCUCCUUCUCAUCUCCAGGGACUUUAAUCAUGCUUCCCUGUCUUUAACUCUCCCCACCUUAACACAGUAUGUUAAAUGCCCCACUAAGGGCAAUAAAACAUUGGAUCUGCUGUAUGCAAACACAAAAGAUGCAUACAGUUCUUCACCCCUUCCCCCGCUUGGCCGCUCAGAUCACAAUCUGAUCCAUCUGCUGUCUUCCUACAUACCUUUGGUGAAUAAACAACCUCCAGUGAGGAACUAAGAGACUGUUUUGAGUCUACAGACUGAGAAAUGCUCUGUAUUUCGCACAGAGAGGACGUUGACAGUCUGACUCACUGUGUAACGGACUACAUUAAUUUCUGUGUGGAGAACACUGUGCCUAAGAAGAAGGUCCGGUGUUUUUCCAACAACAAACCCUGGGUGACUCCGGAGCUCAAAGCCCUGUUAAAGGAAAAAAGAGACUGUUUGGAUUGGGGGACAAAGAUUAGCAGAGGAAGGUUCAAAAACAGCUCAGAGGGGGGAUUUGGAAAGGAAAAGACAGAUACAGAAAAAAGUUGGAGGAGCACCUUCAGCAGAACAACAUGAGGGGGGUCUGGAGGGGACUGAAAACAAUUUCAUACGAGCUUUAUUAUCCAAAUGGUAUUAAAACAUAUGCCUUGGUUUUACUCUUUAAAAAAGCAAGACAGAUGGUCAACACAAAAAAAAUUGUCACACUGUUACUGCACACAAAAUUAGUAGAGCAAACAUAGAAACCAGACAAGCAGAUUAAUCACUACCUUACAGGCAGAAAGAAAGACAUAGCAAGACCGCUCACUCUCUACACAUACACAACCGUACACUCGAGCACCACACACACGCACCCGCUACCAAGUCGAUGAACACAGCACUCGCUGAAGAAACCACCACCAACAGAGAGGAGGUAUAAAUAGUUCUGCCGUUGUCCUCAGCCCCGAAAAACAAACAAACAAAACAGGAAAAUUGAGAACACAAUCUCAGUGAGCAUGAAAUCAACACAUAAAACACAAAAGAACUACAAGGGAAAUCGGGUAAGCUUUCAAGACAUUCAAUCCCGGAUUGCACUCUACUCGCAGGGCUAACUGCUCGGCUAACGGGCCACCAUAAAUAUCGGCCCAACACCAAACAAAUAAUAAGAAAGAAAGAAAAAAGAAAAAAAACACAACCAAAAACAGUAACCAACACACAAUAUGUAAAAUACCCAGAUGAAACCGCAAACUUUCCCGGCAGAAAUAGAAAGCAAGCACGGCCGCCACAGCAGGAAGCAGAGAAGCUUGAGCACCAGCAGGAAGAGAGCUCAUAUCAAAAAGUGGUGAAUCUGUGUCAAGCAGCCGAGUAGUUCCAACACAGAGUUGUGACAAGAGCAGAAAAGCGGCUGUACAUUUACAUUGACGCUAUUUGGCAGACGCCCAUAUCCAGAGAGACUUACAUGUAUCUCAUUUAUCCAACUGCACAGCUGUGGCAGUGCUGGGACUUGAACUACUGACCUUCUGAUCAGUAACCCAGAGCCUUUAACUACUGACCCACCACUGCCACGGUAGCCAGGAACAAAGCAGUUGUAAUCAAUGCAUCUGACAUCCUGAAGAAAUUGUGGAAAUGGAAAGCACACAGUCACCACACCUGAAGUAUGCAGGCAGUGGAAAUGACACACCCUAGCUAUGCACUGCCAUCUUUAUAUAGGAAAAAAAAUUCUGCUGACACAACUGCCACGUCGUGUCAAAACUGAGAACAACAUUCUUGCCACAUUUUUGUGUUCUUUUAAAGAAGAGGGCUGGUCCAGACUCUCAGAAUUAAUCCCCUCGACUUCCUCUAUCACUUUAACUGUAUCAUUCCUACUUCUGUGGAGACUCACGCUGCAUCUCUGGACUUACAGAUUCGGAACAACAAACACCAUGAAAUUCACGGUGUUUCUCAGUGGGUUCCUGCUGCUCUUUCUGCUUACUGAUUGGACAGAAAGUGUUGAAGGUGACCGUGUGGACAUAAAAACUCUCGCCCAUAUUAUAGGCUUCUUUGAGAAUAACUAUAAGAGAGUUGAUAACGAUGGGCAUCCUCGUCAGUACGCUGUGGCCAUCAAUGUACCGAAGGAGCAGUGUCAACAGAACUUCAAUCCUACAACGGGCAACUUCUUGACUCAGGAGAAUGCAAACGAAUGUGAAAAAUACUAUUUCUGAUGACACAAAUGCACUUUACCAAGGUGCAGAGCUCAUCGCAGCAGGAACUAGAAAGGUUUAAUCAGUAAAAGAAGCAAUACAAUAUGCAUUCAGAGUCUCUCCUACUGAAUCCUGCUGACAACUCGCCCAUGACAAAUCUCUUGAAUAAAAGAAAAGACGGCUGCUCUGUUUUCUACACCUUUGAAUCUCCCUGUGUUGACACAUGUCUAGAUGCGACAGGCAGUCACAGCAUUAUAAAGGCCCUGGAGAACUGGAAAAAUCACGAUGGCAUUAAAGCAUUUGUCUUCAAGAAUUUCUGGAAGUUUGACACAGAAAAAGAUCUCCAGACCAAAUUUAAGCAGAUUGUGGCUAACGUUCCUCUCUACCGCUGUGUGAGUGAGAACGAGUGUUACGCUUGUGGAGGGGAAGGAAACACUCCCAUAAAUCAGCACUGUCUGCCUAAAAAAACAGAAUUAACAGUUACGCAGUAACAUUAAUUUCAUUCCUGAGUGCUUCUGUAUCAAGAUCUCUUGUUUUGAAAUUCAACAUGCUUAGAUGAACUAGUAAAAAUGCAUUUGAGAAAUAAUCUUGCUUCCUACUUAAAUAAAAUACUUCUGCUUGGCA
ensembl:lncRNA